rnacentral:hammerhead_ribozyme from 2 species
AUCUAACUGACGAGUUCCAAAUAGGAUGAAGUGACGCACUUCAAACUAGAU